ensembl:snRNA U6 U6 spliceosomal RNA
GUACUCACUUUGGCAAUGCAUAUGCUAAAGAACUGGACUGAUACAGAGAAGAUUAGGGUGGCCCCUGCACAAGGAUGACAGGCAAAAAUGUAUCUAUUUGGAAACGGUU